rnacentral:rRNA from 1 species
AUGAACGCUGGCGGUCUGCUUAACACAUGCAAGUCGAACGAACUCUUCGGAGUGAGUGGCGGACGGGUGAGUAACGCGUGAGAAUCUGCCUGUGGGUCGGGGACAACCACUGGAAACGGUGGCUAAUACCGGAUGAGCCGAAAGGUAAAAAAUUUAUUGCCCACAGAUGAGCUCGCGUCUGAUUAGCUAGUUGGUAAGGUAAAAGCGUACCAAGGCGACGAUCAGUAGCUGGUCUGAGAGGAUGAGCAGCCACACUGGGACUGAGACACGGCCCAGACUCCUACGGGAGGCAGCAGUGGGGAAUUUUCCGCAAUGGGCGAAAGCCUGACGGAGCAAGACCGCGUGGGGGAGGAAGGUUUUUGGAUCGUAAACCCCUUUUGUCAAGGAAGAAGUUCUGACGGUACUUGACGAAUAAGCCUCGGCUAACUCCGUGCCAGCAGCCGCGGUAAUACGGAGGAGGCAAGCGUUAUCCGGAAUGAUUGGGCGUAAAGCGUCUGUAGGUGGCCAGCUAAGUCUGCUGUUAAAGAUCACAGCUCANCUGUGGGAAGGCAGUGGAAACUGGCAAGCUAGAGGCUGGUAGGGGUAAAGGGAAUUCCCGGUGUAGCGGUGAAAUGC